rnacentral:rRNA from 1 species
UACGGGGGGGGCAAGCGUUGUUCGGAAUUACUGGGCGUAAAGGGCUUGUAGGUGGCCAACUAAGUCGGACGUGAAAUCCCCAGGCUCAACCUGGGAACUGCGUCCGAUACUGGAUGGCUUGAAUUCGGGAGAGGGAUGCAGAAUUCCAGGUGUAGCGGUGAAAUGCGUAGAUAUCUGGAGGAAUACCGGUGGCGAAGGCGGCAUCCUGGACCGACAUUGACGCUGAUGAGCGAAAGCUAGGGGAGCAAACGGG